rnacentral:lncRNA from 1 species
GGAGGAGGCGCGAUUGUGGAUAUGGUGGUGAACGAAAAACAGAGGGAGUACGGGUAGAGGGUCGAAGGAAGAAGAUGAUUUCUUCUUUGUUUUUUUUAUCCCUUUAUUUUUUCAUUUUUUUUUAUUUUCUCUUCCUUCAUUCAUUUUCAUCCAGAGAGAGAAAAAAGAGGCUAGGUCCUCAUUGGAUUCUUUUUUCUUUCUUUUUAUUUUCUUUUGUGGUUUUUGAGAAAGAGAUUCAGGAGAUAACGUGUAUGUCUCGGUUGGUCUCCCCCUCCUUUUUUU